ensembl:lincRNA Gm12603 predicted gene 12603
UUUCUCCUAGGCAAAUGGCCUGAAUAUCAUGAAGUAUCCACCCAUAUCUCAAAUCUAUCAUCCUAGUCAUCCAUUCUUUCUGGCAAGUUUUAGUCUUUGACAAAACAAUCCUAUUUAUUUCCCUUGAAAAUGGCUGGGAACAAGUCUUGGAAUAUUAGAAUAUCUCAUCUUUGUGAUCCCACUGAAAAUGCUGAAUUCAGUUUUAGUGCUUUUAUUCAUUUAGUCCUCAAGCACGCUCUUUCCAAAUGGGCUUUGAUAGCAGAUGGCAGGUCAAAUCACCCAGGAAGCUAAGAUCAAGAGAAAAUGGUUGGAAAUUUUCCAGUUAACUGUGAGUAAUCAUGAGGGUUUGUGAAGACAAAUCUUUCAGGAAAGCACUGAGCCUCAGAAGGCACGCACUUGAACUGAAGCCCUUGUCUCAUGGAGCUGAAGUACUUGUCUUGGGACCACAACCACCAACCUGGGAGAGUGCACCCAACAGCAAAGCAUUACAAGACUUAAACCACAGACAAGCUCUAGGUGCUGGAUAAGCUGGAAAAAUCUCAGGAGCUUACAUAUCAGAACUCUGAUACAUUGUUAGUAUUGAAAAAUAUCAAAAUAAAGUCCUACUUCUUAUAUUC